rnacentral:rRNA from 1 species
AUACGUAGGGUGCGAGCGUUGUCCGGAAUUACUGGGCGUAAAGAGCUCGUAGGUGGUUUGUCGCGUCGUCUGUGAAAUUCCGGGGCUUAACUCCGGGCGUGCAGGCGAUACGGGCAUAACUUGAGUACUGUAGGGGAGACUGGAAUUCCUGGUGUAGCGGUGAAAUGCGCAGAUAUCAGGAGGAACACCGGUGGCGAAGGCGGGUCUCUGGGCAGUAUCUGACGCUGAGGAGCGAAAGCAUGGGUAGCGAACAGGAUUAGAUACCCUGGUAGUCCAUGCCGUAAACGGUGGGCGCUAGGUGUAGGGGUCUUCCACGACUUCUGUGCCGUAGCUAACGCAUUAAGCGCCCCGCCUGGGGAGUACGGCCGCAAGGCUAAAACUCAAAUGAAUUGACGGGG